rnacentral:tRNA from 1 species
CCUCUAUAGCUCAGUUGGCAGAGCAUCUGCCUCGUAAGCAGAAGGUCACGAGUUCGAUCCUCGUUGGAGGCU